rnacentral:lncRNA from 1 species
CAUCUCUACUUUGGUUAGAGAUGAUAUUUUAAAACAUGAUAUUUCUUCUUUUCCUUCCCAGGCCAAGUCCUUUAACCUCAUGACCAUCCCAUUUCUGAACCCAUACAUUUUCCAGGAACUCUCAGUUUUUCACUGAGAACAGCAAGUGUGGCAAGAAUAAAGAGCACAACAGUUGCCGUGAAGGCCAUCCCCACCACGUGGGUGUUUCCUGAGUGAGAUGACUUGCACACACAGUGCCAAAGCUCUAGAGAGAAAAGGAAAAGAAGCAACUUACUAAAAAUAUUCCCAAGGCAAAGACAAGGAACUGUGCCUCCACUCCUUCCUUUAGCUUGUAAGUUGCUUUGGGGCCCUGGGUUGCGAUUCUUAACCCACAGUGGAUGUUAAAUAAAUAUUUGAUGGUGUUGAGGGCUUAAGUAAUGGUUUAUGUAAACAUCAAGAGCUGCUGCUCAGAACAUAUUCUCAUGGCACAAUACUAAAUUGACCAGAGAGAUUUCACUGUGGUGUGCCUCAGACUGUAGAAUAUAAGGAAGUCUCAUUAACUUGUCAAGUUGACAGAGUUUGGGAAUUUGUUUUGUUGUUGCAAACCCACUGUU